rnacentral:rRNA from 1 species
AGCAGUAGCCGCGGUAAUACGAAGGGUGCAAGCGUUAAUCGGAAUUACUGGGCGUAAAGCGUGCGUAGGCGGUUUGUUAAGUCUGUUGUGAAAUCCCCGGGCUCAACCUGGGAAUGGCAAUGGAUACUGGCAAGCUAGAGUGUGUCAGAGGAUGGUGGAAUUCCCGGUGUAGCGGUGAAAUGCGUAGAGAUCGGGAGGAACAUCAGUGGCGAAGGCAGCCAUCUGGGACAACACUGACGCUGAGGCACGAAAGCGUGGGGAGCAAACAGGAUUAGAUACCCCUGUAGUCCCUGUCUCUUAUAC